rnacentral:sRNA from 1 species
GGGCUGCCAAGGCACGACCACGGGCCGGAAGGCUGCCAGGCCCAGUGGGCAAGCGAAGAAAUGAACCACCGCAACAUGGGCGUUUGGGGGCGGGGCCGAGUGCGAGCCUGAGCCCCAAAUCCCGACCCAGGCAGGGGCGGGGCCCGGAGCGGGGCCUUGGAGGCCCAGCCCGCGCGGCGACGUCUCCGCGUGACGUCUCGGCACCGACUGACAGCCACCCACCAUGGCCGCAGACCAGCGCCCGAAGGCCGACACCCUGGCCCUGAGGCAACGGCUCAUCAGGUACCCGGGCGGGGGACGGGCGGCGGGGGGCGCGGGGCUGCGCGGAGAGGCACGCGCACGCACGACGCACGCACGCACUACGCACGCGCCUCCGGCUAGGAAGCCGCUGCUGCCCAGCCAGUCCGGCCACUGCCCCGGCCCGGCUGGAGCUUCUAGGGCCCGGAAGCGGGCGGCGCCGUUGGGCAGUCCCCCCAGGUGGUCUCCGGGGCCGCCUCCCCGACAGCGCCGUCUCCAGGCCGCCCAGUUCAGGAGACGGCCCGGCCCUCACCGCUGUUCGGCUGUGUCAGCCUCGCUUGGCAGCCUUUACCUCGGAGAAGACCUUCACCCUGGCACCUGAGAGGACCUCACCCAGAGUGGCCCGUCAGCAGCACCCGGGCCUGGCUCGAGAGUGACCUGGGAGGGGGCUGAAAGGGCAGACAAGGGAGAGUCGGGGGAGUCGGUUCACAGGCAGCACACUUGACCUGUGAGGGGGCCCUGGGUGGGACGGUGGGUGAGGUAGCCUCCCACUGGAGCUUAGGGCUGGCACCCAGCGAGGGGCAGCAGGACCACGUGGCUGGCAAGGAGCUGUUUAGGGCUGAGAGCCAGGCACCUAAUGUUGGUGCCCUGCCCCAUCCCAUCGAGGACACGCGGCCUUACGGAGCCCCCGUGGGACGGGGCAGCCACCUUUUCUCAGGAUCCAGGAGACUGACGUGGCCACAUGCAGAAAUGAGCAAGGAGGCCACAGAGGCUUAAAAUGCUUUAAGAAACAAUUCUAAGUUUCAGCAACUUGUUACCCCAUCUGCUUCCUCCUUUGCAACCACCUGUGGAGUGGGGAGACAAGUUGGGCACUGCCACCCUCUCGUGGUCCGAGCAGCACAUGAACAGAACCAGGUGCUCAACACCAACAGCCGGUACCUGCAUGACAACAUCGUGGACUAUGCGCAGAGGCUGUCAGAGACCCUGCCGGAGCAGCUCUGUGUGUUCUAUUUCCUGAAUUCUGGGUCAGAAGCCAAUGACCUGGCCCUGAGGCUGGCUCGCCACUACACGGGACACCAGGACGUGGUGGUAUUAGAUCAUGCGUAUCACGGCCACCUGAGCUCCCUGAUUGACAUCAGUCCCUACAAGUUCCGCAACCUGGAUGGCCAGAAGGAGUGGGUCCACGUGGUAUGCACUGCCCAACUCAACAACAGGUCGGUGCCUGUCCCCAAGCCCGGAUAACAUGGCGCUGUCACUCCCCACAGGCACCUCUCCCAGACACCUACCGGGGCCCCUACCGGGAGGACCACCCCAACCCAGCUAUGGCCUAUGCCAACGAGGUGAAACGUGUGGUCAGCAGUGCACAGGAGAAGGGCAGGAAGAUUGCAGCCUUCUUUGCUGAGUCUCUGCCCAGUGUGGGAGGGCAGAUCAUUCCCCCUGCUGGCUACUUCUCCCAAGUGGCAGAGCACAUCCGCAAGGCCGGAGGGGUCUUUGUUGCAGAUGAGAUCCAGGUUGGCUUUGGCCGAGUAGGCAAGCACUUCUGGGCCUUCCAGCUCCAGGGAAAAGACUUCGUCCCUGACAUCGUCACCAUGGGCAAGUCCAUUGGCAAUGGCCACCCUGUUGCCUGCGUGGCCACAACCCAGCCUGUGGCAAGGGCAUUUGAAGCCACUGGCGUUGAGUACUUCAACACGGGGUGUUGGGCUCUUCAUUGGUGUGGAUCUGAUCAAAGAUGAGGCCACAAGGACCCCAGCAACUGAAGAGGCUGCCUACUUGGUAUCAAGACAUGGAAGAGGAGGUGAGAAGUUGUGAGACGCUGAGGCUCCAGCCCUAAGCCAGCCCUGCUCUGCCUAAGUGUACUCCAGAAGAAACUCAUCUCAUCCAAAUACACACUAUUGAGAAGGCCAGCCUGACCUCCCUCUUACAGAUAAAGUCAGUUUUCAGAGGCUCAGGGUGGGGGGCCUGCCUGAGGCCAUAAUGCUACCCACCCCUCCUCCUAACCGCUGGUGUGUGGGGAUAACCCAGAUGUCUGCAUCCCCUCAAGUCAGUCAGUUUCCUUUCUGUCCACUGGGGGUGGAAUGGGGUAAGGUGGGGUACUUUCAAAUGCUCCUGCUUAAAUAAAUUAGACCAGACCA